rnacentral:rRNA from 1 species
AUUGAACGCUGGCGGCAGGCCUAACACAUGCAAGUCGAGCGGAUGAAGGGAGCUUGCUCCUGGAUUCAGCGGCGGACGGGUGAGUAAUGCCUAGGAAUCUGCCUGGUAGUGGGGGAUAACGUCCGGAAACGGGCGCUAAUACCGCAUACGUCCUGAGGGAGAAAGUGGGGGAUCUUCGGACCUCACGCUAUCAGAUGAGCCUAGGUCGGAUUAGCUAGUUGGUGGGGUAAAGGCCUACCAAGGCGACGAUCCGCAACUGGUCUGAGAGGAUGAUCAGUCACACUGGAACUGUGACACGGUCCAGACUCCUACGGGAGGCAGCAGUGGCGAAUAUUGGACAAUGGGAGAAAGACUGAUACAGCCAUGACGAGUGUGUGAAGAAGGUCUUCGGAUGGUAAAGCAAUUUAAGUUGGGAGGAAGGGCAGUAAGUUAAUACCUUGCUGUUUUGACGUUACCAACAGAAUAAGCACCGGCUAACUUCGUG